AAUGUAAUGCAUGUAGCGUUAAUGCAUUGAAUCCCAUUAGAACUUUGCAGUGAAGCACACUUGGGCUAGAUUAAUACUGGGAUGGGUGACCUCCCAGGAAGUCCUUAUUACUAAAAUG
rnacentral:rRNA from 1 species